rnacentral:rRNA from 1 species
CCUACGGGGGUCUGCAGUGAGGAAUAUUGGUCAAUGGGCGCGAGCCUGAACUAGCCAAGUAGCGUGAAGGAUGACUGCCCUACGGGUUGUAAACUUCUUUUAUAAAGGAAUAAAGUGAGGCACGUGUGCCUUUUUGUAUGUACUUUAUGAAUAAGGAUCGGCUAACUCCGUGCCAGCAGCCCCGGUAAUACGGAGGAUCCGAGCGUUAUCCGGAUUUCUUGGGUUUAAAGGGAGCGUAGAGGGGUUGUUAAGUCAGUUGGGAAAGUGUGCGGCUCAACCGUAAAAUGGCAAUUGAUACUGGCAGUCUUGAGUACAGUUGAGGUAGGCGGAAUUCGUGGUGUAGCGGGGAAAUGCUUAGAUAGCACGAAGAACUCCGAUUGCGAAGGCAGCUUACUAAACUGCCACUGACAUUGAUGCUCGAAAGUGUGGGUAUCAAACAGGAUUAGAUACCCCGGUAGUC